GAUACGAUCUACUAUAACCAAUCGAGCUUAUUCCAAUGAGAAAUGUCGUCAGCCCAGUUAUAAAGAUCCAAUCGGCUAAUCAGUAAACAAAACUCAUGGGAAAAUCGUUUACUCUCUUCCAAACGGUUGCCACCGCCGGUGUCUUCUCAGCCGUUUCUUAUUGGUAUGGAUUCAUGUUUGGCAGAGAAUCGGCUCGUAAAGAACUUGGAGACUUGAUUGAAAGUCUUCGCCAUAAUAACUCCAACUCCUCUUCUUCCUCACCUCUGUCGCAUUCUUGAUUGGAGGCUUUCUCUCUGGUUUUGUAAAUUGGUCAAUCAUUUCUGUUUGUGGCUGAUGGUCUAGCAAGGAAAAGAAAAGUAUAUGGUGUCAUGUCUAAGAUUGAAGAACUUACCAACUACAUGGAAGCAUCAAGGAGCUGUAACUGAACGACUUUCCUCCUCAAGACUUGGAACUUGCCAAAACUUAAGGAGGACCCUAAUGAUACCGAAAACAUGGUUAGGAGUUACAAGUGCUCCCUUGUACUUCUCUGGUUGUGUAUUGCAUGUCUUGUAGUUUCUCAGUUGACAAUUUUUGUAAAGAUUCGACAUAUUGUGUUCAUUAUAUAAAACCUUCCUUCUAUGGGUGAAAGAAUUAUUUGAAACAAACAACUUUAGGUGUAUAAUUUAAAACAAAACACAUUAUGGAGCAUGUUAAAAAAUACAUAAUUGUGUUUGAUACUUGGGGCCUUUGGCCAUUUUUGAGUUUCUCGAUAUGUUGUUCGAAGUAGGGCUAGCAUUCAUGAUUUAACCAUAGUCUACAACUUUUUCUUCUAUAAAUAGUAAAUUAUUCUGAAUUGCAAAUAAAAUGAUUCUUUUGUUAGUCACAUGAUGUAUUGGUUCAUAUUCCGUGAAUCUCAUGAUUUAUCAUGUCUAUGUUUUCCAUGUUCCCCUCAAUGUAGAAUUCACAAUUUUUAUCAUUAAAUGUCUGCCAAAUUCUUGGUGC